rnacentral:misc_RNA from 1 species
GAUGAAGAACGUAGCGAAAUGCGAUACGUAAUGUGAAUUGCAGAAUUCAGUGAAUCAUCGAAUCUUUGAACGCACAUUGCACUCUCUGGUAUUCCGGAGAGUAUGCUUGUUUGAGUAUCUGUAAACAUCUCAAAUCUCUCUUCGCUUGCGUCGAGAGAAUUGGAUUUGAGCGAUCCCGACUCCUUCGUCAGAAAGAGGAGGGUCGCUUGAAAUGCAGGUGCAGCUGGACAUUCUUCUGAGCUAAAAGCAUAUCUAUUUAGUCCCGUCAAACGGAUUAUUACUUUUGCUUCAGCUAAUAUAAAGGUCGAAUGAACUACCAUCGCUGAUUGCAGGAAAACUCGUUUGUAACAGAACUUGUAAACUCGAUCUCAAAUCAAGUAAGACUACCCGCUGAACUUAAGCAUAUCAAUAAGCGGAGGA